GUAUUAGGCAACAGUUGGUUACCGGGUGGUACUGAUAAUGCCAAGGUUGCAGGUUCAAUCCCUGUAUGGGACA